UCCCGCUUAAACGCGGGCAGUUCUGUGAGACACUUGUAACUCACCGUAGGGGUUGCGCUCGUUUUCACACUUAAGUGAACACCUCACGGCACGAGCUGACGACAACCGUGCAGCACCUGUGUACCACCCUCGAAGGCGGCCCCAUCUCUGGGGCUUGCAGGUACAUGUCAAGACUUGGUAAGGUUCCUCGCUUACCGUCGAAUUAAACCACAUGCUCCACCGCUUGUGCAGGUCCCCGUCAAUUCCUUUGAGUUUUAGCCUUGCGGCCGUACUCCCCAGGCGGAUGAUUUAACGCGUUAGCUAUGGCACUAAGGAGGGUCGAUACUCCCUAGCGCCUAAUCAUCAUCGUUUACAGCGUGGACUA
rnacentral:misc_RNA from 1 species